rnacentral:rRNA from 1 species
UGGGGAAUAUUGGGCAAUGGGGGAAACCCUGACCCAGCAACGCCGCGUGAAGGAAGAAGGCUUUCGGGUUGUAAACUUCUUUUACCAGGGACGAAGGACGUGACGGUACCUGGAGAAAAAGCCACGGCUAACUACGUGCCAGCAGCCGCGGUAAUACGUAGGUGGCAAGCGUUGUCCGGAUUUACUGGGUGUAAAGGGCGUGUAGGCGGAGAAGCAAGUCAGAAGUGAAAUCCAUGGGCUUAACCCAUGAACUGCUUUUGAAACUGUUUCCCUUGAGUAUCGGAGAGGCAGGCGGAAUUCCUAGUGUAGCGGUGAAAUGCGUAGAUAUUAGGAGGAACACCAGUGGCGAAGGCGGCCUGCUGGACGACAACUGACGCUGAGGCGCGAAAGCGUGGGGAGCAAACA